GACGAACGCUGGCGGCGUGCCUAAUACAUGUAAGUCGAGCGGAAUGAUGAAGAAGCUUGCUUCUUCUGAUUUUAGCGGCGGACGGGUGAGUAACACGUGGGCAACCUACCUUGUAGAUUGGGAUAACUCCGGGAAACCGGGGCUAAUACCGAAUAAUCCAUUUUGCUUCAUGGCGAGAUGUUGAAAGACGGUUUCGGCUGUCACUACAAGAUGGGCCCGCGGCGCAUUAGCUAGUUGGUAGGGUAAUGGCCUACCAAGGCGACGAUGCGUAGCCGACCUGAGAGGGUGAUCGGCCACACUGGGACUGAGACACGGCCCAGACUCCUACGGGAGGCAGCAGUAGGGAAUCUUCCACAAUGGACGAAAGUCUGAUGGAGCAACGCCGCGUGAGUGAAGAAGGUUUUCGGAUCGUAAAACUCUGUUGUAAGGGAAGAACACGUACGAGAGUAACUGCUCGUACCUUGACGGUACCUUAUUAGAAAGCCACGGCUAACUACGUG
rnacentral:rRNA from 1 species